GAUGAACGCUGGCGGCGUGCUUAACACAUGCAAGUCGAACGAUUAAGCCCAGCUUGCUGGGUGGAUUAGUGGCGAACGGGUGAGUAACACGUGAGUAACCUGCCCUUAACUCUGGGAUAAGCCUGGGAAACUGGGUCUAAUACCGGAUAGGAGCGUCCACCGCAUGGUGGGUGUUUGAAAGAUUUAUCGGUUUUGGAUGGACUCGCGGCCUAUCAGCUUGUUGGUGAGGUAAUGGCUCACCAAGGCGACGACGGGUAGCCGGCCUGAGAGGGUGACCGGCCACACUGGGACUGAGACACGGCCCAGACUCCUACGGGAGGCAGCAGUGGGGAAUAUUGCACAAUGGGCGCAAGCCUGAUGCAGCGACGCCGCGUGAGGGAUGACGGCCUUCGGGUUGUAAACCUCUUUCAGUAGGGAAGAAGCGAAAGUGACGGUACCUGCAGAAGAAGCACCGGCUAACUACGUG
rnacentral:rRNA from 1 species